rnacentral:rRNA from 1 species
AAACAUGGCGGUUUGAUUAUUAAUUUAACGUCUGACCUGCCCACUGAUAUUGAAGGGCCGCAGUAUAUUGACUGUGCAAAGGUAGCAUAAUCAUUAGGUUCUUGAUUAGGAUCUGGUAUGAAAGGUUUAACGAAAUAUUAACUGUCUCUAUUUGAUAUAUUUAAUUUAACUUUUUAGUAAAAAGGCUAAUAUUUGGAUGAGGGACGAGAAGACCCUAUAGAGCUUGAUAGUUGUUUUAUGACAUUUAGAUAGUUUUUGAGUAAUUGUUGUUAUGACAACUGUUUUACUGGGGCGGUACUAAGAUAAAUUUAACUCUUGUUUUGUUAAUAAAGAUAGUUAGAUAAUUGAAUCAUUCUAAUUGAUUUUAGAUAAAGUUACCUUAGGGAUAACAGCGUAAUUUAUUUGGAGAGUUCUUAUUGAUAAAUAUGUUUGCGACCUCGAUGUUGAAUUAAGAAUUCAAGGGAAUGGAGCAGUUUCCGUUGAGAGUCUGUUCGACUCUAAAAUUCUUACGUGAUCUGAG